GAUGGAACCAACCUAACUCUACCGAUAAUAACUUUACCGAAAUAAUACAAGGGUACACACUGCGGUGUUUCUUCAUCGAGAACUUAAAAGAGAUUCAAACCUGCGACGAUAAAAAUAUCACAACUACAAAAUUGGAGCACACGGUGCACAAUCUAAUAUCUAACACGACAUAUUUUCGAAUUUAUACCAUUAAACGCCGCUUAUUCAAUACAAGAACAUAUAAUUUAUUGAAAUAUCCGAACAGAGCUAAUGCCAUUGAACAUUAAUGAAAAUAAAACCACAAAAGUAGCUAGCUUUCAUGAUCGUCUACAUGAUCUCUGUAUUGACUAGGUAGCAAGAAAUCUAUAUAGGACCUAUGAAGACUUAGACUACUUUUACAUUGUAAAGUUCGACUUAACAAUGUGGGAAAUGGCAUAAUUAAAUUUGAGAUUGAGAUUUUCAAAACAAAAAUUGCUAAUGACCAUUUAAAUGUAUCGUCUAUGAGAAUUUUAUUGCAUAUCACAUAGUUGGACGAAUACAAUUAGAGAAUAUGAUAUGAUGAAAUAUCAUCUCGAUGGAGAAAACGAAAAUUGUUCAGAUAAAUGCAUCCUUUUGCCUAUUUCAUUAUAUACAUUUUUUUAGUGAUAAUUGAUAACAUGAAUAAUUAGAAGCCGUUAAUUUACUGGUUAAAUGAAAAUUACACAAUUGCAACAAACAUUAACAUUUCUAUGUGCAAUACGAUUUUAUACAAGAAAAACAUAGGUACAUUAAAUUCCAAUCUAUGACGAUUGACGAAACAAACAUUUAUAUUUUUGCAAAUGAUUAUUCAUUUCAAUUCUCUACGUUUUGAAAAAAAAAUGCAAACCUCAAGAGCGUAAAUGCAUUCGAAUAUGUUGAAAAGAUAAUUAUAAGCUCAAUUGAAUAUUAUCGUUUUUUAGAAUUUACGUUUUUGAUAAAUUUUUACAACUAUAUCCUUUAAUGAGAUGUCUGACACUUGAAGAAAAAGUUUAUAAUUUUGAAAAUAUGACUGCAACGACAAACAACAUCAUUGUAAAUCUUCCGGAGCUGAUUAUAAAGAAUGGAUGAAAAAAAUAUAAUUUAUCAACUACUAUAUAUACUAUCUCCAUAAGCUGUUUAGGCAACUGAUCGUUCACUUAUACUCAGAACCAAACAAUAUUACAUUGAGCGGGGUCAACAUAAAUAGCAUGGAUAUUUGGAUCAUCCAUAGACAUGGAUCUCAAACAUCAAUUGGACGGUCUUUUCUACACCAGAGUAUAAAGACGUUGCAACAGAAAAGUGGCAAACAAUGAAUCAUAUUAAAAUGAAUUAUAACAAAGAAAUAAUAUAUCAUAUCGGAAAUUUUAUACAAGUUUCAAUCGGGAACUUUAUACAAGUUUCGCUUGAUAUUGAGAUAUCCCGAAUAUGAGGACAAUUUUACAUGGCUGAUGAAAGAUGUAUUUUUUCAACACUUGAUAUUUCGAGCACUCCUGGAAUAAUAGUGAAAAAAUACUUAUUACUGAUGUUAGGUUUUAUCGUUAUAGUUACUAUUAUCUGCCUCUGCUACUUUUAUUGUUGUGUUUCAAGAAAAUGUGAAGAACUUAGAAAGAUCGGGCACAGAGAUAUUCGUUGCAAUAAAAUCGCUUCGGAAAGAUGCUUCUUCCCAGAGAAAAAGAAAUUGUUAAAGGAAACCAAGUUUAUAAAUCAUUUUCGACAUAUAUUAAGAUUGUUGGCCGUUUGUUUAGAUGGGGAUUCUCCGUUACUAGUGUUGGAAUUCAUGGAAACUGAUGAUCUGUUAAAAUAUUUGAGAGAUUGUCGAAAUUUGGAAGCGUCAGAUUCGCAUGCUCUGCGUUUGCAGGAUUUGCUCGCCAUGUGCAAAGAUGUUGCGCGAGGUUGUUGCUAUUUGGAAGUGUAAGCGAUAAUGAAAAUGCGAGAGAGUUGACAAGACAUAAUAUCAUUGUAUUGAUCAUUUGUUUUGAUCGAGGGCACUUUGUUUUGUCUUGAGACAGGGGCAGCCCGCUAAGAACUGAACAAAAGACAUGGCAUUCGCAUUUCGCUUCUAGACAAGAAACGAACAUUUAUUCCACGUAUAAUAGCUCGUGACUGAGAUCGAUCCAACGGAUCCACAUUUCACCAAUUACAUUUAUUAGAAGUGGAAUUCGAGCGCCUUUACAACUUGCUUUAAAAGAGGUAGGCCCUUUUAACUAUUACGGUGCGAAUUUAAUGUUGAACGUAACGGACAUAAGAUAACAUGCGGACAUAAGAUUGUUUCUGAUGUGAUAAACUCUUAUAUGUACUUCUCUUGUGCGGUCGUUAGUGUCGAGUUUCGUGAACGCGAGUUGCGUGAGUACUAGCAGUGUACUAUUUACCCUUUCAACAAGGGAUACUAAGUAACGGUCCGAGUAUGGAAUUUGAAGGCGAAUUUACCGUGGUUAAGUUGAAGAAGGUUCUUCGCAUGUGGGAACUAGCCACAUGGAAUAAAAAACGAAUUAAUUAAACGAUUAAGUGAGAAUAAUCCAAAAGCGUGGGAGGAGCUCGCUGCGCGACGGAUAGGCGUCUUACGCGUAAUCGAUUCAUCGAAUUUCAAGGAUAUGCCGGUCGAUGGAGGACAGUGAAAUUGUCGAGGAGGCUGAGAUCACUAACGGGGCGACAGCGCGAGAAGAGUAUGUAGAUAUCGUGGCGUCGGAUGUAAUGCCACGCGACAACGCGAUAAGGAUAGAGCUUAUGCUUUUACAUCGAGAGAAAGAACUCUGGGAGAGAGAAAGCAGCAGUUACUCAAACGGGAGUUGGAGACGUAAUUCUCCCACGAUGAUAAGCACGGAGUCAAGCAACGGUACUAUUCCGGCGCCUGGUGGCGUUAAGAAUAUUAAAGGACUGCUGCUUGAAUUUGACGGAACGGAUAACGCUUUUUGGAAGUGGAAACAGCAACUGCAGCUAUUAAAACAUUCCUAUCAUUUGGACGAGAGUUCGAUGCGAACAUUAAUUAGCUCGUGUUUAAAAGGACGCGCGCUAUCGUGGUUCUAUUCGAGAGCUGAAUAUUUGACAUUGAACAUAGAGGAACUGCUCAAGAAAAUGGAGCAGAUAUUCGAUUUGCAUCCUGGUAAACUGACACUAAGAAGAAAAUUCGAAUCCCGGAUUUGGAGAAAAGGUGAGCCAUUUUACGAUUACUACCACGACAAGAUAGUUCUUGCCAAUCGGAUACCGAUUGCAAAGGAUGAGAUCCUGGAUUAUAUUAUCGAGGGCGUGACGGAUCAGCGAUUGCAGGAUCACGCUCGCAUGAUGAAUUACCAAACAAGAGCUGAACUAUUGAAAGCAUUGAAGGUCCAACCUGACUAUAAGGGAUAAUGACGCUAGAACGAAAAAAAUUGAACAAGAACGAUAAGCGAAAAGACGGAGGUGCCGUUGGCCAAGGGAAAGCCGAUCAAAUAAUAUAAAUAUUUGGCGAUAGAACAUAUCGCGCCGCAAUGUAAGCGAGCAUUGAUGAAGAAAACAUGUUAUGUGUGCAGAUCGACGGAACACUUGGCUAGAGAAUGUCCAAAACGAGGUCAAUCUUCGAUGCCGGAGAUGUCUAAGGACUUUGCGCAGGCGACAUCAAUAAAUAUUGUGCAACUUAACGAGUUCCCGAAGCCGUAUACGAUUCCCGUAAAAAUUACGAUCGAAAAUACGAACAGCGAAUCGCAUAAGUAUGUUAGCGACGCGGUAAUCGAUUCCGGAUGGCGUAUUAGUCUGGUGCGAAGCGACGUGAUUCCGAGAGAGGUACGUUUAUUAAAGAAAGAACAUGUCAGCCAGUUUUUCGGGCUUAACGGUUCGCAGCUAAAAAUUGACGGCAUGUUUUACAGCAUAUUGGAGACUAAUGAUAUGCAUAUUAGGAUGAAAUUUUAUAUAGUAUCCAGCAGCACUAUAGCGUAUAUAUAUUUUCCUCGAAAGAGAUUUUUUAAAUUGCCCACGAUUACGAGUUACAUUCGGAGAAACUUUCAAAAUUACCAGUAACGAGGAAAUAUAUGCAGUUAGUCAACUAAUGUACAUAGAAUACAACGAUAACUUUACUCGUUCGUGUAAUGAGUUAAAAAUUAAUCCUGCUGUCGGUAAAAGUGUGUUCGCGCGAAUUGGCGAAGCGUAUGAAUUAUGUUACUUCAAAAAUUUUUAGAGAGAAGGAUGCGUACCCGAUUUUCAAAUGAUUAUUGCGUUCAAGCAUGUACAGCCCAUAAGUUCGCGUCCACAUAGAUUAUCGUUUGCGGAUAAAAAGAUUUUACGUAAAAUUUUGAAUGAUCCUUCGAAGACCAAUUAUGCGACCGAGUUGUUCACCGUAUGCGAGUCCAAUCCAGUUUUAACAACAAAAAAAGACGAUAAUUAUCGCGAGCUAAAUAAGAUUACCAUACGUGAUAAUUUUCCAAUCGAACUAAUUGACGAUAAUAUCGUACAAGAUAAAAGAUAUUUUACGAUUUUAGACUUAAAGGAUGGAUUUCAUCAUGUAAAAUGUACGAAAAUCUAUGAAAUCAUAAUCUCGUUUGUGACUGCUGCUAAGGCAAUUCGAAUAUUUUCUUAUGUUCUUUGGUCUAACAAAGGACAUAAGAAUGCGCCGCAUGUUUUUCAGCAUUUUGUACAAGCCGUAUUCGAGCCGUUAAUCCGAGAGAACAAAAUAUUGAUUUAUCUCGAUAACUUAUUGAUUGCAACAAAGGACAUAGAUGAACACAUUAAAAUCUUAUCUAAAGUCUUUGAAGUAGUAGGUAAACAUCACUUACAAUUUCGACUGGAUGUUAUUUUCGUUCAAACGGAAAUAAAAUAUUUAGGAUAUUGCGUUAAUGCGUAUGGUUAGGUUAGGUUAGGUUCGACUGAUGAUAUAGUGUUGGACUGAGCGAUGAGAACAUCGAAUCUAUUCUUAAUUACCCAAUACCGUGUAAUGUAAAAGAUGUACAAAGAUUUAUUGAAUUGGCGAGUUAUUUUUGUCGAUUUAUUCGAAACUUCUGGAUAUUAGCAAAGCCAUUAUAUGAGGUGAUAAGAAAAAACGCUUUUAAAUUCGAGUUCGUUGAGAAUUCCACAUAUGAAAUACUCAAGCGAUAUUUAGCUAAUAGACCAGUACUUGCGAUUUAUUCACCACAGAUGGAAACAGAAUUACAUUGCGAUGCAAGCGCUAGUGGUUUUGACGAUAUUCUGUUGCAAAAACAAAUCGAUAAUACUUGGUGUCCAAUUUCAUUUUGGAGUCAACGAACAAUGCCUGCCCAGUCGCGAUACCAUAGCUUUGAAUUAAAGUAUCUUGCUGUCAUGUAUGCGCUGAAAAGAUUCUACAUAUAUCUUUCAGGACAAAAAUUUAAAAUCAUUACAGAUUGCGAUAGCUUCCGUCUGACUUUGAAUAAAAGAGACGUGAAUCCUCGAUGGAUCCUUCGAGACUCGAAUUUCACGUUGGGCUCUAUUUUUGCAAAAUUAUUAUGAAAUUGUCCAUCGCUCAGGUAAGAGGAUGAGUCAUAUUGACACGCUUAGCCAAUGCCACAGUAUACUUGUUCUCGAGGGCAGCACAUUGAAAAGAACUCUGUCCGUUUGUCAGGAUCGCGAUGAAGAAAUUUUAAACAUCCGCAACGAGCUUGAGAAUAGUGAAGUCAAAUAUUAUGAAUUACGAGACGGGCUUGUGUAUAGGAAGGAUAAAAAUGAAAAGCUGUUUUUUUGUGUCCCCUGCUCUAUGAAAUCAAAUGUGAUUUGGACAUGCCAUGAUAAUCUCGGUCAUAUAGAAAUUGAUAAAGUAAUCGAAAAUAUUACACGAGUUUACUGGUUUCCUCGUAUAUGUGAGAAAGUGCAAAGGUUGUUAACUGUCUUAAAUGUAUAGAGUUUUCUCCGCCGAUUAUUUCCGGGUAUAUAGUAGGCCUAAGCGUUUGAUUUCUGACAGAGAAACCUGUUUCACGUCCAAUGCAUUUAAAAAGUAUUUGAAAUCCGAAAUGAUCGAGCACGUCUUGGUAGCGGUAGGUACGCCGGGAGCGAAUGGAUAAAUUGAAUGAUUUAAUCGAAUGAUAAUUCCGAUGCUGGCAAAGCUCAGAGAUACCUUCGAAAUGAGAUUGCGUUUUGGAUCAGAUAGAGUUUUCUAUAAACAAUACUGUUUGCAGUGCGACGGACGAAACACCUUAUUGUUUGGUUUCAAGCAACGAGGAAAACAGAACGAUGUGUUACGCGAUUUAAUUCAAGAUUGUAACGUAGUACGCGAUUGACUCACUUAGGAAUAAUGCUCAAGCGAAAAUAGACGAAGUGCAAUGCAAAGGCGCUGAACGAUAUAAUUAAUAAGACAGAGAGCUGCGCGCGAGUAUAAGGUUGGCGACUAUGUUGAGAUUCAUAAUAUUGAAACAAUGACUGGAGUUAAUGAGAAGUUGGUGUCAAAGUUUAAAGGCCCAUAUGUUGUAAAGAAAGCGUUAGAUCGUUAUGUUGUUGCCGAUAUCGACUGAUUUUAAUUGAUCCAGCGGCUAUAUUGGCGCCAGAUGCGUCCUCUUAUAUGCGUAUGUAAAUCUAAUAUUUAAUGACUUUAUUUUAAUUGUUCAUUAUUUAUAAAUUGUAUGUGUGAUGAAUGUUAAUUUUAGUUUUAUGUUUGACCGGGAUGGCCAAAAAUCAGGCUAGCCGAACUGUGAUAAUAGAAAUGCGAAAGAAUUGACGAGAUAUAAUAUCAUUGUAUUGACCGUUUGUUUUAAUCGAGAGCACUUUGCCUCGUCUUGAGACAGGGACAGCCCGCUAAGACCGAAUAGAAGACGUGGCAUUCGCAUUUCGCCUCUAGACAAGUAACGAACAUUUAUUCCGCGCGAUAAUAGCUCAGGAUUCUAAAAUCGAUCCAACGGAUUCACAUUUCACCGAUUACAAUAGAUACAAUUUGAAGAAUGUUUGAUAAGUGAUUUUUUACUCCCGACUGUUGCCAACCGUAGGUUGGCAAAAGACGGAAGGAGUAUGCGUUUCAACGAGCUUGGAUCGAUUCUGGCCGCUAUUCUCAAUAACAAUAACAUAUUUUGGUAUCAUCUUUUGCACAUCAGUUUUUUAUUAAUCAAGGAUGAUUUAUUUAUUAAACAGAUUUUCUAUCUUGAUAUUUAAUAGCUCUGUUCCGUUAUAUACAUUAUCCUUAACACAAAGAAAUGGUACUUACUUUCUAAAUGAAUUUCAUAAAAUAAAAUCUACAUUAGUAUAAGUCUUACUAUAUAUUAAUAAAUAUUAUUAUAAAUAUCUAGAAAAAUUAUUUAUUGAAGAAAAAUAUUAGGUGUACAACUUUGCUUCCGCCGUUUUUCUGUAGAUUGCUUUAGCGGUAGGUGGUGGUCGAAAUAAAUAGAUCAUAGAUGUCAUACAUUAUACUUGGGCAUCUGUCAACAUAACCCCAUAGAAACAUUAGUCGAUUUGUGUCUCCAUCAUAAAGUUAUUCUCAAUUGAAAAUGUCAGUUUACGAGCCAAAUUCUCGUCAUUUGCGGGAGGUUUUAAUUUUCUGCUUCAAUAUGAAGAAAUCUGCGGCUGAGGCUCAUCGAAUGCUCUCAGAUAUACUUAUGGUGAGGCCGCUAUUAGUGAAAGAACGUGUCGUGAGUGGUUUCAACACUUCAAGAACAGUGAUUUUGACGUCGAAGACCGGCAUAGCGGUGGAAGAAAGAAGAUUAUAUUAAGCUGUUAAAACCGACUGAAACAAUCAUAGGCGAUCGGUAUCGAACGCAAUUGAUGCGUUUGAGCCGAGCAUUGAAAGACAAAUGGCCGCACUACAACGAGAGACACGAUAAAGUGAUUUUGCAGCAUGACAAUGCUCGACCCCAUGUUGCGAAAGUGGUCAAGACAUACUUGGAAACGUUG